rnacentral:rRNA from 1 species
GACAGAGGGUGCAAACGUUGUUCGGAAUUACUGGGCGUAAAGCGUGUGUAGGCGGCCGCGCAAGUCGGAUGUGAAAGCCCCGGGCUUAACCCGGGAAGUGCACUCGAAACUGCGUAGCUCGAGUAUCGGAGAGGUUGGUGGAAUUCUCGGUGUAGAGGUGAAAUUCGUAGAUAUCGGGAAGAACACCGGUGGCGAAGGCGGCCAACUGGACGAAUACUGACGCUGAGACACGAAAGCGUGGGGAGCAAACAGGAUUAGAAACCCGCGUAGUCC